rnacentral:rRNA from 1 species
GACGAACCGUGCGAACGUUAUUCGGAAUCACUGGGCUUAAAGCGCGUGUAGGCGGGACGGCACGUCGGUCGCUGAAAGCCCCCGGCUCAACCGGGGAACGGGCGCCGAUACGACCGUCCUGGAGGGACGUAGGGGGACCUGGAACUUCCGGUGGAGCGGUGAAAUGCGUUGAGAUCGGAAGGAACGCCCGUGGCGAAAGCGAGGUCCUGGACGUUUUCUGACGCUGAGACGCGAAAGCCAGGGGAGCGAACGGGG